CUUAAUCUCUUUCGCCACCGAGAUCAUCUUAGGCCUGUCUUCAUUCCUCUCCUCGCAGCAUCUCAAUGCCAGGUCGAGAAACAUUUUCAUCUGACCAGGCCUCAUCUGGUUCGAACCACCCCCGAAUUCAAUAGGUUCUCCUCUCUCCUGCAGAUUUUUGACAUAAUCAAGAAGCAAUAUUUCAGGAUACAAUCCGCCAUCUGAUUCAUCCCAAUAUGCUGGUUUUCCCAUGAGAAGAACCAACAUAAGGAUUCCAAAACUGAACACAUCUGAAUAUUCUGUCAGUCUAUCAGUCGAGAGAUAAAUAGGAUCCAUAUAUCCAUAAGUUCCAAACACGUGCUCUUCUUCAGUCCACGUUUUACCCUCAGGGAGCGUUACGGCCUUGGAAAAACCAGUCAGCUUAGCCAUCCCAUUCUUAUCCAACAAAACAUUAGACGGAUUGAUAUUUCUAUGUAUAAUGAUUCUAGGGAAAGCCGUGUGAAGAUAAGCGAUAGCCCUCGCAACCGCUUUGGCAAUCUUCAAACGAACAUUCCACGGUAACAAAGGCGCGCCCUCGCAACCAACACUUCCUCGAACGUUCAAAAAUCUAUAUUCUAGGUUUUCAAACACCAACACCGGACAAGGAAAGUCGAGACAACAUCCCAUGAGUUGGAGGAAACCACUGUAAUUACUUACCCGAGACGACAAGACGAUAUCAUUGUACGGCGCGACUGGAUGGAUUUGAUGCCAUUUGUCUGUAAAUUUCUUGAUCGCGUAAGAUCUGCCUUCGAUGACGGCCUUGUACCAAGUAAAGGCUUCUGGUAUAUCAUGGAGAUAAAACUUGGGGUCGAAGUGAUCUGUGGCCUUGGAGAUUUGAUCAGAAGAGAAGAUUCGGAUAGGGUUUGAUACACCGUUACAGUCUGCAAUGAGUUGCUGAAGAAAGAUGCUUCCAUUUUCGAGGAACCACUUUUUCUCUUUUUCCUUCUGCUUCUCCUUCUUCUUUCCCCAGCAUUCCAUUGACGAAUGAUGCCUAGGAUUGCAAAAUCUGCAAUACCGUUGAGACAGAGACGCUCUUACAGUUUUUUUUUUGCUAAAAAGAAGCUCUUACAGUUCUGUUUUGAGAAAAAUAAAAGACUAUUGAUUCAUCAAUACGCGUGGAUCUCAAAAUAUGAACAUCCAAGUCCCGUCCAACACGCCUACAAAAAGAAGACAACGUCCAAUACGACAACGUCAAAUAAAUAACAAACUUAUAUUGACUGAGAUACAUUAGAUACACCUUUGGUCAGCUUAAUAUUUCUUCUAGUCUCCGUAUAAUAUUCCGUUUCUUGACCAUUCUUGAUGCCCGAACCUGGCCUAAAGUCCGUAAAGCUUGGGCUUUAGGCGCCACACAAUAUAUAUAUUUUAGGGGCGCCAAUACUAGGUAAUUCUCUUAGGUCUAGUGGCUUGAGUUCUACUCCUUUUAUAUCACAUGUGCAGGCUCGAUUCCUGUUUUCUUCAAAAUUUCCAUUUUUUUAUAAUAAUUGAAAGAAUCUAAUUGAUUAUGAUUCCUUUAUUGAUGAUCUUAGUUUCUUUAUAUUGUAUUAAAUGAUAUAGUCAUAUAAAUAGAGUAAAUCAAUUAAUUUAUUUUUCCAAAUCGGUGCCACACUCUUCAUUUUCGCUCUUCUUUCUUCUUUUUUUAUGCAUUGUUCUGUUUUUCAAAUUUGAGUAGAAUUAAGUUGUUCUUGUUUUUUUUUCUGGUAAAAAAGUUAUUCUUGUUACUAAUGCGUUUGUAGAAAGUGUACUGGCAACAAAAUAAAAAAUCAGCUAGUAAAUUAGAGUAAUCUGAAACCAAAAAUAUUUUCAAGUAAAAUGUUAAAUUGUAUAUGAACGUUUUAGAAUCAUUAUUUUAUCAAUAUGAUAGAUCAAUAUAUUAGGGUUCUUGAUGAAUUUUUUUGUUUGGUUUUAAAAAGUUAAGCUUAUUAAAAAUUGUUGUUGUUCCGUAUUUCAUUUUAAAACAAAAUUUGGAGUAAAAAAUGCUUCUAAUUCCAUUAUAUUUCUCACUCUAUAAUAGCAUAUACAACUAUACAAUUACUCUAUAAAUGAAAUAAUAAUUUUAUUUUUUUGUUCAUUACUUUGUUUUUUUAUUUUAAAACAGAAUAGUGUUGAAAUAAACUCAAUUUCAUUAUAGAAUUAUUUCAGUUUGAGGAAAAAAAUUUCAUUAUAGUGGGCAUAAUUUUUUUAAUGCGCUUUAGGCGCCAUAAAACUCCGGACCGACACUGUUGAUGCCUCUAAUCCAUUCUUGCAACCUUAACCUCGCCUUUUCUUUAUCUCCUUGUUCUGAAGCUGUAAAUUAUAUCUUCCCCAAAUUGAUUUCGUCUCUUCUUUUCCUUUUCUCCUUGGACAUAGCUAUGCAAUUUAUUUUGCUCUGGUUAAUUUCAUUGUGACAUAUUUGCUAGUAAUGACAAACAUACAUCCAUAAAUAGUAGCUUUCAGUUUGUUUUUGUUCUUCUUUAAAGCUUAUGCAUGUCUCUGGGAAUAACAAAUGAACGAUGCAAAAAAAGAAUGAGAAACUCAAAACUUGUUAGACAAGCCAACAAAUACAAAAAAAAGAAAGAAAGAAAAACAAAGAAAAAGAAGGUGGAAGUGGAAGUGGUAAUUAGACAUAAACAAAAUGGUUACAAGGAAUUCCAUUCAAUUGCCACAUCCCGCAUUUUUCUUCUUCUUCUUCAAGCUCAUUCUCAUCUUCUUCGAUCUCAUCACCAGAAUCAUAAUAAUAGCCUCACAGUCAUCACCAGGUAUAGGUUCACUCUCAUCUCUGUCAUGUAUAUAUUAUAUAUGUGUAAAUAAUCGUGGGGUCCACAAUUAUUGUGGAAACCCAUAAAUAAGGGUUCUUUGGGAUUCUUAAAACCUUAUUUUAAGAACCCUUACCUAUGGGGUUCCAUAAAAAUUAUAGACCCCACAAUUACUUAUACAUAUAUAAUAUAUACAUACAUAUAUAUAUACAUAACACAUAUACUAAGAACUCCAACGGGAAGGUGCUCUGAGGCAAUUAAAGUUUCAAAAUUCCAAAAUUUUUUUUUUUUUUUACAAAAUAUCAACUUUUAUCGGUGAACAAGUUUGAAACUCACUCUUUUGCACAUGCAGUCUGAAUGAUCAACACAAAACUUUCAUGAGAUUUUGAUUUGUAGCCUAAUCUUGACAAACAAUUUCAAGAAUACAUUCAAUUUAAGCAAAAAACAAAAAAAUACACAUUCAAGCAGGUUUUCGAAACUACGCUUCCUGCUUUUGGAUCUAAUCCCUGAUGCUAAUAUCCUUGCUCCUUAAUUCAACAUGAAGCUUUUCUGGAAAUGAGAACCAUCUAACAUGUUCUGCAUGCUUUCAGAACCUAAAGAUAGAUUCAUUUACCCUCAAAACUCUUUCUUAAUCAAAAUAAAAGUUUUACUCGAAAAUCAUAUAUCAUAUUAAAUCACAAAUGUAACAAAUACACAACCGUAUAACCACAAAUAUCAGAUCUUUAGAUCUGACCAUCCUCAGAACAAUCAAAUGAUCAUUGUUUCUAUUAGCUUAAUCUCUUUCGCCACCGAGAUCAUCUUAGGCCUGUCUUCAUUCCUCUCCUCGCAGCAUCUCAAUGCCAGGUCGAGAAACAUUUUCAUCUGACCAGGCCUCAUCUGGUUCGAACCACCCCCGAAUUCAAUAGGUUCUCCUCUCUCCUGCAGAUUUUUGACAUAAUCAAGAAGCAAUAUUUCAGGAUACAAUCCGCCAUCUGAUUCAUCCCAAUAUGCUGGUUUUCCCAUGAGAAGAACCAACAUAAGGAUUCCAAAACUGAACACAUC
rnacentral:lncRNA from 1 species